AUUGAACGCUGGCGGCAUGCUUUACACAUGCAAGUCGAACGGUAACAGGCCGCAAGGUGCUGACGAGUGGCGAACGGGUGAGUAAUGCAUCGGAACGUGCCCAGUCGUGGGGGAUAACUACUCGAAAGAGUAGCUAAUACCGCAUACGAUCUAUGGAUGAAAGCGGGGGACCGUAAGGCCUCGCGCGAUUGGAGCGGCCGAUGUCAGAUUAGGUAGUUGGUGGGGUAAAGGCUCACCAAGCCAACGAUCUGUAGCUGGUCUGAGAGGACAACCAGCCACACUGGGACUGAGACACGGCCCAGACUCCUACGGGAGGCAGCAGUGGGGAAUUUUGGACAAUGGGCGCAAGCCUGAUCCAGCAAUGCCGCGUGCAGGAAGAAGGCCUUCGGGUUGUAAACUGCUUUUGUACGGAACGAAACGGCUCUGGUUAAUACCCGGGGCUAAUGACGGUACCGUAAGAAUAAGCACCGGCUAACUACG
rnacentral:rRNA from 1 species